UCCUACGGGAGGCAGCAGUGGGGAAUAUUGGGCAAUGGGCGAAAGCCUGACCCAGCAACGCCGCGUGAUUGAAGAAGGUCUUCGGAUUGUAAAGAUCUGUCCUAUGGGAAGAAAAAAAUGACGGUACCAUAGGAGGAAGCCCCGGCUAACUACGUGCCAGCAGCCGCGGUAAUACGUAGGGGGCAAGCGUUGUCCGGAAUUACUGGGCGUAAAGGGUGCGUAGGCGGUAUCUUAAGUCAGAUGUGAAAUAUCCAUGCUUAACGUGGAGGGUGCAUUUGAAACUGGGAUACUUGAGUGCAGGAGAGGAAAGUGGAAUUCCUAGUGUAGCGGUGAAAUGCGUAGAUAUUAGGAGGAACACCAGUGGCGAAGGCGACUUUCUGGACUGUAACUGACGCUGAGGCACGAAAGCGUGGGGAGCAAACAGGAUUAGAUACCCCGGUAGC
rnacentral:rRNA from 1 species